rnacentral:rRNA from 1 species
UACGAAGGGGGCUAGCGUUGCUCGGAAUCACUGGGCGUAAAGCGCACGUAGGCGGAUUGCUAAGUCAGGGGUGAAAUCCUGGAGCUCAACUCCAGAACUGCCUUUGAUACUGGCGACCUUGAGUCCGGGAGAGGUGAGUGGAACUGCGAAGUGUAGAGGUGAAAUUCGUAGAUAUUCGCAAGAACACCAGUGGCGAAGGCGGCUCACUGGCCCGGUACUGACGCUGAGGUGGCGAAAGCGUGG